AACGUAGGAGGCGAGCGUUAUCCGGAUUUACUGGGUGUAAAGCGCAUGCAGGCGGUUCGUUAAGUUGGGUGUGAAAGCUCCUGGCUCAACUGGGAGAGGUCGCUCAAAACUGGCGGACUGGAGCGUGGUAAGGGAAGGCGGAAUUCCGGGUGUAGUGGUGAAAUGCGUAGAUAUCCGGAGGAACACCAGUGGCGAAGGCGGCCUUCUGGGCCACGACUGACGCUCAGAUGCGAAAGCUAGGGGAGCAAACGGG
rnacentral:rRNA from 1 species